UUAAUUGAAACCAAAUAGAGGUAUAUCACUGUUAAUGAUAAAAAUGAUUGUCAAUCCAAUUAAA
rnacentral:tRNA from 1 species